GAUGAACGCUGGCGGCGUGCUUAACACAUGCAAGUCGAACGGAAAGGCCCAAGCUUGCUUGGGUACUCGAGUGGCGAACGGGUGAGUAACACGUGGGUGAUCUGCCCUGCACUUCGGGAUAAGCCUGGGAAACUGGGUCUAAUACCGGAUAGGACGAUGGUUUGGAUGCCAUUGUGGAAAGUUUUUUCGGUGUGGGAUGAGCUCGCGGCCUAUCAGCUUGUUGGUGGGGUAAUGGCCUACCAAGGCGUCGACGGGUAGCCGGCCUGAGAGGGUGUACGGCCACAUUGGGACUGAGAUACGGCCCAGACUCCUACGGGAGGCAGCAGUGGGGAAUAUUGCACAAUGGGAGCAGGCCUGAUGCAGCGACGCCGCGUGGGGGAUGACGGCCUUCGGGUUGUAAACUCCUUUCGCUAGGGACGAAGCGUUUUUGUGACGGUACCUGGAGAAGAAGCACCGGCUAACUACGUG
rnacentral:rRNA from 1 species